AGGGUUGUAGUUAAUUAUAACAUUUAAUUUGCAUUUAAAAAAUAUUGAAAUAGAUUCAAUCUACCUUA
rnacentral:tRNA from 1 species